GUGUCAGCAGCCGCGGUAAUACGUAGGCAGCGAGCGUUGUUCGGAGUUACUGGGCGUAAAGGGUGCGUAGGCGGUCCUUUAAGUUUGGUGUGAAAUCUCCCGGCUUAACCGGGAGGGUGCGCCGGAUACUGAGGGACUAGAGUGCGGGAGGGGAGAGUAGAAUUCCCGGUGUAGCGGUGAAAUGCGUAGAUAUCGGGAGGAAUACCGGUGGUGUAAACGGCUCUCUGGACCGUAACUGACGCUGAGGCACGAAAGCGUGGGUAGCAAACAGGAUUAGAAACCCGUGUAGUCC
rnacentral:rRNA from 1 species